UUCCGGUUGAUCCUGCCGGAAGUCACUGUUAUCAGGGUUCGAUUUAGCCAUGCGAGGCGCGAGUCAUCUGGACUCGCCGAACUGCUCAGUAACACGUAGUUAAUCUAAUCUUAGCUGGGAGAUAAUCCUGGGAAACUGGGGCUAAUAUCCCAUAGGUUCUGGAGGCUGGAAUGCACCAAAACCGAAAGCUACGGCGGCUAAGAAUGGGACUGCGGCGUAUCAGGUUGUAGUGAGUGUAAUGUACUCACUAGCCUAUAACGCGUAGGGGACAUGAGAGUGUGAGCCCCGAGAUGCAUUCUGAGACAUGAAUGCGGGUCCUACGGGACGCAGCAGGCGCGAAACCUUUCCAAUUCGUUAGCGCGUGAGAAGGGGACCCUGAGUGGUUAUGUUAUACAUAACCUUUUCUUUAGCCUAGAAAGCUAGAGGAAUAAGUGGUGGGCAAUACAGGUGCCAGCCGCCGCGGUAAUACCUGAGCCACGAAUGGUGAUCAUUUUUAUUGGGUCUAAAGUGUCCGUAGCCGGCCUAGCAAGUUUCUGGUGAAAUCUGGCAGCUGACUGUCAGGCGUGCUGGAAAUACUACUAGGCUUGAGAUCGGGAUAGGAUAGGGGUAUUCCACGUGUAGGGGUUAAAUCCUUUGAUCCGUGGAGGACCACCGGUGGCGAAGGCGCCUAUCUGGAACGAGUCUGACGGUGAGGGACGAAAGCCAGGGGAGCAAAUGGGAUUAGAUACCCCAGUAGUCCUGGCCGUAAACGAUGUCCGCUUGGUGUCGCGUACCUUACGAGGGUAUGCGGUGCCGGAACGUAGGUGUUAAGCGGACCACCUGGGGAGUACGGUCGCAAGGCUGAAACUUAAGGGAAUUGGCGGGGGAGCACACAAGGGGUGGAGGCUGCGGUUCAAUUGGAUUCAACGCCGGAA
rnacentral:rRNA from 1 species